CCGGUACCGGGCUGCGAACCCAGUACCUACCAGCCUUAUGUCCGAUGGCUUAACCACGACACCACUGAGGCCGGUAGUCUCAAAUACCAUGUCUUUCCUGUGUUUUUCUCUAUUAGUAUAUAACGAUUAUUAACAUAAUUUUACUAAAUGAGACUUAACUUUAUGUACACACACACGCUCGCGCGCGCACGCACAUACUAACACAUAUUUAUAUAUAAUCCUUCAGUUCUUUUAAUUUUCAACACCAGGAUCCCAAAGGGAACCAGAUCAAGCGCUGGACCAAUUUGAGAGACUCUUCAGGUGUGGUCGCUGGGGAGGUGCUGCUCUCCGACCAACCCGUUACCGGAGACUGGAGGAUUAGUGUGAAGAUACCGACGCUAAACGUCCAAUACUCGAAGACAUUCACAGUGGCACAAUACGUGUUGCCUCGCUUCGAGGUUAUAGUUGACCUUCAACCCUUUGCGUUAACCUCUGACACCAGCCUGACCGGAACUAUUAAGGCCAAGUACACUUUUGGAAAACCGGUGAAAGGUAUGGCAGAAAUACGUGUCCAUGUGGAUCAAGACAACGAUUACUGUGGAAGACCACCCAAACACGUUGAACUGGCAUUCCCG